UUAUAUUGCUGAUAAAUAUAUUUAUAAAAUAAUGAAAUAUAACGUAAUAUAUAUUUAUAUAUAAAUGCAAACGUCAUUAAGUUGCAUUUUCUUUUAGAUGUAUUUUGGAAGAUUUUAAUUAGUUAAGACACACUAAGUUUCUUUUAAUUUUCUUUUCUUAUAACUAUUUUUAUUCUUAUGUGUGGUUGUAGUGCACUCAUUUAGAUGAGACUUGUCAGAUGUAUAUUGACAAAUAUACAUAAUAUAUCACUUAAAAUAAGCAGGAAUAAUAUCACAGGGGUUUUAGUGGGUAAGAAUCCCACAAUAUCCGGUUCUACUUCAAGAGCCGGGCAACUUUUUUGGAGAUUUCUUUAAGCAUAAAAAAAUCUAUUUAUCAUAUAAACUAAAGCAAGUAAGAAAGACGCAGACUUCUAAGUGUCUUUAUAUAUACUUAUAUGAAUAAAAAAUCAAAAAAAAAAAAAAAAUCAUUAAUAUCUAAAUAUCUUAAGUAUAAGUUCUUAGAUUAUAUGUAUAUGCCUUGAUAUAAGCAAAAACAGAAGAAUACGAAGAUAAGCAAAAGGAUGAAUCAGACAUAAAAACAUUCAAUAAAACAUUGAUUAUGAAUUAAGAACAAUAUUGUGAAAAUAAUAAUAGUAUUUAUAUAAAUAAAAAAUUAAAAUGUAAGUACAAAA